rnacentral:lncRNA from 1 species
CAAAUUGGACUCAGUGGUUACUGAAACAGGAAAAGAGUUGAUGAGAUUGGGAAGGAGUGAGAGGGUGGGAGUGGAUCUGCAAGGAAUUAGGAGUGGGUGUGGGUAUGAUCAAAACAUUGUAUACACAUGUAAUAAAUAUAAUACUUUACAUAUAAUAUAUAUACAUAUAAUAUUUUAGUCAUAGUCAUAACUACUCUUCCUAAUUCCUUAUAGGAAUUACUCCUUUGCAACUUCAUGGGCUCUUUUCUUGUUUCAGUAACCCACUGAGUAUGUAUAUGUAUCCAUCCAUACAUAUACAUAUACAAACAUACACACACACACACACACACACACACACAGAGUCUUAGUUACAUCUCACAAGCAACUCUUGUAAAGGACAACAUUUAAUUGGGGCUGGCUGACAGCUUCAGAGGUUCAGUCCAUUAUCAUCAUGGCAGGAAGCAUGGUGGUAGCAUCCAGGCAGGCAUGGUGCUGGAGGAGACAAGAGAUCUACAUCUUGUUCUGAAGGCAAACACAAGAAGACUGGCAUCCUCAGGCAGCUAGGAAAAAGCUCUCAAAGCCCACUCUCAGAGUGACAUACUUCCUCCAACAAAGCCACACCUUCAAAGCAACUUAUGGACAAAGUGUUUAUUUUGUUUUAGCGUUCCAGGCGGAUGAUCAUUCAUCAUGGCAGGGAUACAAGGCAGCAAGCAUCAAGCACCGUAGUAGGAGCUGCAAACGGAGCGACCAGAACUCUACUGCACAUACAGGAGCAAAGAGCCUACACUGGCGGG